GGGAUAACAAUAUGUUUAUAAUCAUUCAAGACAUUAGAUUUUUGAAAUUUGAAAUAUUUUGUUGAACUUAAAAUGUAAUGGUCCAUCACCCUUUAAAGACAUUUUCAGAACAUUGUAGUAUUUUCAACUUUUCCCGUCUCCUACCAAUGCAUUUUUGAACAGUUGAACAAAAGAAAAUUCUUAUUUCUAAUUGCUCUCUAUUCAACAACAAAAUAUAAUAUUGCAUACAA
rnacentral:lncRNA from 1 species